rnacentral:rRNA from 1 species
GAUGAACGCUGGCGGCGUGCCUAAUACAUGCAAGUCGGACGAAUGGAUUAAGAGCUUGCUCUUAUGAAGUUAGCGGCGGACGGGUGAGUAACACGUGGGUAACCUGCCCAUAAGACUGGGAUAACUCCGGGAAACCGGGGCUAAUACCGGAUAACAUUUUGAACCGCAUGGUUCGAAAUUGAAAGGCGGCUUCGGCUGUCACUUAUGGAUGACCCGCGUCGCAUUAGCUAGUUGGUGAGGUAACGGCUCACCAAGGCAACGAUGCGUAGCCGACCUGAGAGGGUGAUCGGCCACACUGGGACUGAGACACGGCCCAGACUCCUACGGGAGGCAGCAGUAGGGAAUCUUCCGCAAUGGACGAAAGUCUGACGGAGCAACGCCGCGUGAGUGAUGAAGGCUUUCGGGUCGUAAAACUCUGUUGUUAGGGAAGAACAAGUGCUAGUUGAAUAAGCUGGCACCUUGACGGUACCUAACCAGAAAGCCACGGCUAACUACGUGCCAGCCGCCGCGGUAA